UUAUUACGAUAAUAUGAUAUACGAAGUUCUCCGAUUAUUGCGUGCUAUGCUGUUAUAUGUUGUUUUUUUUUCAACAUAAUUCUGGAUGAGUCUAUAAUUAUGCAAUAAUAUUGGUUGCGCGCGCCGAUAACAACCCCUUUUUCAUUGUAUAUACUUGCCGAUGACAUCACCAUCCCUGGUCUCUCAAUCGUUCUGUCUGUUGAAGUGUAUUGGAAGUGAAUGUUAUUCUUAAAUUAAACAUCUCAUUAAUUUUUAUGAAGAAUUUUCUAUGUGUGAAAUAUAUUGUGUAUUGAUAAAUUAGAAAAAAUUAUAAAUCAACAAAAAAGUGCAAAAAGUAAUUCUUGUGCGAUAUAAUCAUUUAGUGCGGCGCAAUAAAUAUAUAUGAAGGAAGUAACUACCUGGUCGAUAUUGUCCUUGGUGCAUAGAGGUUAAACAAAACUGAAUGUAACGAAAGUGAUUCUAUAUAUGUUUGAACGCGUUUAUAAUAAGAAAAUGCGUAUAUAA